AUUGAACGCUGGCGGCAGGCCUAACACAUGCAAGUCGAGCGUUCGGCGGACACGUGAGUAAUGUCUGGGAACCUGCCUGCUUUAGGGGGGUAACUACUGGUAACGGUGGCUAAUACCCCCUCCCCUCAGCUGUGCCCCGAUGGGAUUAGCUAGUGGGUGGGGUAGCGGCGCACCUAGGCGACGAUCCCUAGCUGGUCUGCGAGGAUGACCAGCCACACGGGAACUGGGACACGGUCCAGACUCCUACGGGAGGCAGCAGUGGGGAAUAUUGGACAAUGGGCGCAAGCCGGAGAAAGCCAUGCCGGGUGUGUGAAGAAGGCCUUCGGGUGGUAAAGCACUUUAAGCGGGGAGGCGUUACCCGCAGAAGAAGCACCGGCUAACUCCGUGCCAGCAGCCGCGGUAAUUC
rnacentral:rRNA from 1 species